rnacentral:rRNA from 1 species
UACGUAGGGUGCGAGCGUUGUCCGGAAUUACUGGGCGUAAAGAGCUCGUAGGCGGUGUGUCGCGUCGGCCGUGAAAACCUGCAGCUUAACUGUGGGCUUGCGGUCGAUACGGGCAUCACUGGAGUCCGGCAGGGGGGACUGGAAUUCCUGGUGUAGCGGUGAAAUGCGCAGAUAUCAGGAGGAACACCGGUGGCGAAGGCGGGUCUCUGGGCCGAUACUGACGCUGAGGAGCGAAAGCGUGGGGAGCGAACAGG